rnacentral:rRNA from 1 species
AGUGAACGCUGGCGGUAGGCCUAACACAUGCAAGUCGAACGGCCGCACAGUAAGAUCUUGCUCUUACGGGUGGCGAGUGGCGGACGGGUGAGGAAUACAUCGGAAUCUACUUUUUCGUGGGGGAUAACGUAGGGACACUUACGCUAAUACCGCAUACGACCUACGGGUGAAAGCAGUGGAUCUUCGGACCUUUCGCGAUUGAAUGAGCCGAUGUCGGAUUAGCUAGUUGGCGGGGUAAAGGCCCACCAAGGCGACGAUACGUAGCUGAUCUGAGAGGAUGAUCGGCCACACUGGAACUGAGACACGGUCCAGACUCCUACGGGAGGCAGCAGUAGGGAAUAUUGGGCAAUGGGCGCAAGCCUGACGGAGCAAUGCCGCGUGAGUGAUGAAGGUCUUCGGAUCGUAAAACUCUUUUAUUGGGGAAGAACAAAAGUAGAAGUAACUCUGGACGUCUUGACGGUACCUAAUCAGUAAGCCACGGCUAACUACGUG